UUCACUCCCGCAAAAUUGAACCGAACAUUGUGCUAAUUCCCUCGGCGCUCCGUCCUGAGUUUCUAUCCUCCCGACCCCGGGCGUUUGAGUCUCCGGUCUUCAGUUCUACUUGAUACAUAGAGUAGUUCACAACCAUACAGCGGAUACACACAACAGACAGAAAAGCAACCAGUGUUAUGCUUUCAUAGAUUGUGAAUCGAUUACAAAAACAGGACUUCAGCAGCAAUAAUGGGACUGUACCUUCUUCUUCUNCA